rnacentral:rRNA from 1 species
AGUGAACGCUGGCGGUAGGCCUAACACAUGCAAGUCGAACGGCAGCACAGAGGAGCUUGCUCCUUGGGUGGCGAGUGGCGGACGGGUGAGGAAUACAUCGGAAUCUACUCUGUCGUGGGGGAUAACGUAGGGAAACUUACGCUAAUACCGCAUACGACCUACGGGUGAAAGCAGGGGAACUUCGGGCCUUGCGCGAUUGAAUGAGCCGAUGUCGGAUUAGCUAGUUGGCGGGGUAAAGGCCCACCAAGGCGACGAUCCGUAGCUGGUCUGAGAGGAUGAUCAGCCACACUGGAACUGAGACACGGUCCAGACUCCUACGGGAGGCAGCAGUGGGGAAUAUUGGACAAUGGGCGCAAGCCUGAUCCAGCCAUACCGCGUGGGUGAAGAAGGCCUUCGGGUUGUAAAGCCCUUCUGUUGGGAAAGAAAUCCAGCUGGCUAAUACCCGGUUGGGAUGACGGUACCCAAAGAAUAAGCACCGGCUAACUUCGUGCCAGCCGCCGCAGUAA